AUUGAACGCUGGCGGAAUGCUUUACACAUGCAAGUCGAACGGUAGAGAGGGCAACCCCUCGAGAGUGGCGAACGGGUGAGUAAUAUAUCGGAACGUGCCCAGUCGUGGGGAUAACGUAGCGAAAGUUACGCUAAUACCGCAUACGAUCUAAGGAUGAAAGCGGGGGAUCGCAAGACCUCGCGCGAUUGGAGCGGCCGAUAUCAGAUUAGGUAGUUGGUGGGGUAAAGGCUCACCAAGCCAACGAUCUGUAGCUGGUCUGAGAGGACGACCAGCCACACUGGAACUGAGACACGGUCCAGACUCCUACGGGAGGCAGCAGUGGGGAAUUUUGGACAAUGGACGCAAGUCUGAUCCAGCCAUUCCGCGUGCAGGAUGAAGGCCCUCGGGUUGUAAACCGCUUUUGUACGGAACGAAAAGGUCUCUCUUAAUACGGGGGACUCAUGACGGUACCGUAAGAAUAAGCACCGGCUAACUACGUGCCAGCCGCCGCCGUAA
rnacentral:rRNA from 1 species